rnacentral:rRNA from 1 species
AACGAACGCUGGCGGCAUGCCUAACACAUGCAAGUCGAACGAGACCUUCGGGUCUAGUGGCGCACGGGUGCGUAACGCGUGGGAACCUGCCCUUAGGUUCGGAAUAACUCCCCGAAAGGGGUGCUAAUACCGGAUAAUGUCUUCGGACCAAAGAUUUAUCGCCUUUGGAUGGGCCCGCGUUGGAUUAGCGAGUUGGUAGGGUAAAAGCCUACCAAGGCGACGAUCCAUAGCUGGUCUGAGAGGAUGAUCAGCCACACUGGGACUGAGACACGGCCCAGACUCCUACGGGAGGCAGCAGUGGGGAAUAUUGGACAAUGGGCGAAAGCCUGAUCCAGCAAUGCCGCGUGAGUGAUGAAGGCCUUAGGGUUGUAAAGCUCUUUUACCCGGGAUGAUAAUGACAGUACCGGGAGAAUAAGCUCCGGCUAACUCCGUG